rnacentral:rRNA from 1 species
UGGCCAGGCUGUCUCCACCCGAGACUCAGUGAAAUUGAACUCGCUGUGAAGAUGCAGUGUACCCGCGGCAAGACGGAAAGACCCCGUGAACCUUUACUAUAGCUUGACACUGAACAUUGAGCCUUGAUGUGUAGGAUAGGUGGGAGGCUUUGAAGUGUGGACGCCAGUCUGCAUGGAGCCGACCUUGAAAUACCACCCUUUAAUGUUUGAUGUUCUAACGUGGACCCGUUACCCGGGUUGCGGACAGUGUCUGGUGGGUAGUUUGACUGGGGCGGUCUCCUCCUAAAGAGUAACGGAGGAGCACGAAGGUUGGCUAAUCCUGGUCGGACAUCAGGAGGUUAGUGCAAUGGCAUAAGCCAGCUUGACUGCGAGCGUGACGGCGCGAGCAGGUGCGAAAGCAGGUCAUAGUGAUCCGGUGGUUCUGAAUGGAAGGGCCAUCGCUCAACGGAUAAAAGGUACUCCGGGGAUAACAGGCUGAUACCGCCCAAGAGUUCAUAUCGACGGCGGUGUUUGGCACCUCGAUGUCGGCUCAUCACAUCCUGGGGCUGAAGUAGGUCCCAAGGGUAUGGCUGUUCGCCAUUUAAAGUGGUACGCGAGCUGGGUUUAGAACGUCGUGAGACAGUUCGGUCCCUAUCUGCCGUGGGCGCUGGAGAACUGAGGGGGGCUGCUCCUAGUACGAGAGGACCGGAGUGGACGCAUCACUGGUGUUCGGGUUGUCAUGCCAAUGGCACUGCCCGGUAGCUAAAUGCGGAAGAGAUAAGUGCUGAAAGCAUCUAAGCACGAAACUUGCCCCGA